UACGGAGGAUGCGAGCGUUAUCCGGAUUUAUUGGGUUUAAAGGGUGCGUAGGCGGAUCGUUAAGUCAGUGGUCAAAUUGAGGGGCUCAACCCCUUCCCGCCAUUGAAACUGGCGAUCUUGAGUGGAAGAGAAGUAUGCGGAAUGCGUGGUGUAGCGGUGAAAUGCAUAGAUAUCACGCAGAACCCCGAUUGCGAAGGCAGCAUGCCGGCUUCCUACUGACGCUGAAGUACGAAAGCGUGGGGAUCGAACAGG
rnacentral:rRNA from 1 species